UAGACUUUUUAAAAUCUUUAGCGUUUCUUAAAUUGCUUUCGAACUACGAAAACGACAGCGAACUGGAGGAAGGACGCAGGAAGCGCAAAACUUCCAACAGUUGAGACGGUUUUAGAAACAGAAGCUAACAAAAAAAUAAUAGUUUUGGAGCACCAAAGAAGAGAAGAGUUAAAACGCUGGUUGUUGUUUGUUUUCAAGCCUGAAGUUCGCCGAUACAGAGCAGACAUGGAGCAGGUGUUAGAAAGUAAAGAUGAUGUUCUCCAUGAGCAGCAGGAGUGGAAUCAGAGUCUUGUCCAAAAGGAUUCGAAGCCUCCAACCAUUAAAGAGGACCAGGAGGAACUUUGGACUGCAGAUGAAGAAAAACCACAGUCAUCACAGCUUCUCGUCAGCAACUCGACUGAACGCAAAACUCUGAAAAUGGAAAGGAAUGGAGGCGACUGUGGAGGAUCAGAACCAGCCAGCAACUCGAGUGUGUUCAGUCAUUUACAACCAGAUACUGAUGGUAAGAGUUCUGACUUUUUCCCACUGAGACUCAUGAUGUGGAGUUGCAAAAUGCAGAAUGUUUUAAAGUUUAAAAAGUAGAAAG